rnacentral:snRNA from 1 species
GUGCUCGCUUCAGCAGCACAUAUACUAAAAUUGGAAUGAUACAGAGAAGAUUAGCAUGGCCCCUGCACAAGGAUGACACACAAAUUUGUGAAGUGUUCCAUAUUUAU